rnacentral:lncRNA from 1 species
CCAUGUCCAUCGCACACCUGCAGAGAAUGUCGCGGGGGGUGCAGUCAAGAUGGUUAAAAACCAAGUCAUUGCGAGCUUUCCAGAUAUGCCAUAAGAUGCAGCACAGGCAUGCCCGCCAGCUUUCAUGAUCCACAUUAGAAGGGCAUGUAAUACACAAAUUCCAGGUGCAUUUGUUUUGUAGUUACACAAAUUCCAUUACAUUAGUGCUCUGAUGCUUUCAUUUAGGUCAAGGAAAGCAUGAAAUUUUAAUUGUGUUUACUUAUGUGUAAACAAUGUUUGUUUGGUUGAUAAGUUCCCAAUAUCUCCAUGUAUUCGCUUUAACGAUGUUGAUGAUUUUAAUCGUCCUUUUAUUUUUAAAUAGGCAUUUUGGUCUGAUUUGCACUGGAAGAAACAUGACUAAAGGACUAACGCAGGUGUAACUCUUUAGCCUAAUGCUUACUGACUUAUUCUGUCCCCUUUUUUUGGAGAACUUUGUUAUUGGUAUAACUAAGUACAGUACUACUUUUUUAUAUAGUCCUAAAAUAGAAAGGCUCGUGGCGAUGUGCUGCUUGUGGAGUUGCUAGAAGAUCUUAGCAUACCUACAGAGGUUGUUGCAUUGAAUGGUUAACCGAGAAACCAAGAUAGUUUAGUCAUCUGUUGACCCCCUUGUUUUUUGUUUGAAUAGCCCGACGCCGGUUUAUUUGUUUAGCAAAAGCACCACGAUAUCAUGAAUCUGUGGUGUGCCAAGCAGCAACUCAUUCAAUAAAGUAAUAAGUUUAUAACUGUUUUGUCUGAUUAGUUUUUAGUACUGAACUAACCAUGGGUAUGACUGCUAUUGUGUUAAAUGAAUGUCUAUUUUCUUCUGCAGUGCUUCCCUCUCUCUGCAUUUGUAGCCUUUUAGGUGAUGAUUUGCACAAAAAAAAGUUUCGUGUUCGUCC